rnacentral:lncRNA from 1 species
UGUGACACCCUUGAGUGACAAUAUUUACUCUGAUAUGUAUGAUUUAAUUGUUGUUGUUUUAAUUAAAUAUUUGGGGUAUUUAGAAGGGUGUUACAUUAGUGGCACCAAAUCUGCAUAGGUAAAUGACAUCACCAAAACAGGGAGUCAAAAUAAUGAAAUCAAAUGCAAUAAAAAAUGCAUAAUGACAUAUCUGAUGUAUGAAUAUGUAUGUAUAUGAUUGAUGAUUAUUCUGACAAAACAAUCAUAAAGGAUACAAAUAUCAUAGAUUUGAAUCACCACUGCAACAUUCGGCUAAUCUCAACAGGAU